AAGUCGUAACAAGGUUUCCGUAGGUGAACCUGCGGAAGGAUCAUUGCCGAUCGGACGCCACGCUGAGCUUUCGCGAGCUCUUCGUGGUGUCUUUUUCGACCAACCCAUGUGAACUCGUUUUAUGUGUUUAACAAAGCCCUCACGCACAUUCGUGUGUGUGUGCGGCUUUGUCCAAACAUUUUAUAACAAACCACAUCAUAUUGAACUCUUGACUGAGACAAUACAGGUCACGCCUAAAAACGUUGAUCUCAAAAACCUAACCAUUACAACUUUUAACAACGGAUAUCUUGGCUCGC
rnacentral:misc_RNA from 1 species